rnacentral:ncRNA from 1 species
AUGAGUAACUAAAAGAAAAUUUUCCGCCUAAAGCUUAUGGAUGUAAUUAAGUAACGGCCUCUAAGUUUAUAUUAUCUAAAGAUUUAAACGAUGAGAUAAUCUUUAUUACUAAGGACGACAUUUUAAGUGAAAAAUGUACUGGAAAAAUAGUAAUAUAUUUAUAUACAUACAUGUGUAUAAAUGAAAAGUAACCGUACCUAGAAUCUGAAACAAGUAAGCUAGUAGAGAAUACGAAGGCGUAAAUGAGCUAACAAUCAUAAAGGAACUCGGCAAAUUGACUACCGUAACUUCGGGAUAAGGAGAGCUCAUUAUUCUUGAUUAAUAUCAAGUAAAGAGGAAGAAGCAUGAAAUAGUGUUGUACGACUGUUUAAUUAAAACACAGCACUUUGCUGAAAGAUUAAAAAUCUAAGUAUAGAGUGUGAUGUCUGCCCGGUGCCGGCUGGUUAACAGAUAUAAUUGGAUAUACUAAUAUCUGAUGUAGACGGAAACCCCGGUUAAAGGCGGCCUUAACGUGAGGGUCCUAAGGUAGCGAAAUGCCUUGGCCGUUAAAUGCGGUCUUGCAUGAAUGAUGUAACGAUACAACAGCUGUCUCUAUGAUUGACUCAGUGAAAUU